rnacentral:lncRNA from 1 species
CUUGGUUACGUUUCACUUUUCUGGUUAUUUUCAGGUCUCUGAUACUACUACUGCAAAUAUAUAUUUAUCAAAACAUGGAAAUACAUACAUGCAUGAGGAUUUGUAUCACUUCGAUGAGGAUUAUCUGGAAUAUCUGUGAAAAUGCAGAUUACUGUGCUCUAUCCCAUACCCACUGAAUCCUAAUCUCCACUGGAAUGGUCCAAGAACCUCCACAUCUCAUGAACAAUCCAGAUGAUUCUCACAUAUUUGAAUAUGGAAAACUACUACCUGAGGGCAACUAUUCAACUUGUAUUCAUAUAAAAAGGCAAUGUCACACUAAAGGCAUUUCUUCUAACGUAAACUUUUUCUAAGAUUGUGUUUUUCUUUAGUAUGUUAUUUCUAUGUAUUCUUUUUGAAGUGUACUGUUUAGUGCAGGAAUAUUGUUACUAAUAAUCCUCUCUUGAUUAAAAAAAUAAAAGAAAGAAGUCCCUCACUGGGUUGGUUUUAUAAUGGAAAAAUGAUGUCACUGGCAGCUCUUUUAGCAUCUCUGAUCUCAAUAUGUAAUGGAAAUCAAAUUACUGAAAACAAAAGCCAUGAAAGGG